CGUUCGGCAGGGAUAACCGCUGAAAGCAUCUAAGCGGGAAGCUCGCUUCAAGAUGAGGUCUCCCACAGGGUUAACCUGGUAAGGCCCCCGACUAGACCAUCGGGUUGAUAGGCCGGAAGUGGAAGUGCGGUAACGCAUGGAGCUGACCGGUACUAAUAGGCCGAGGACUUGCCACA
rnacentral:rRNA from 1 species